rnacentral:rRNA from 1 species
AACGAACGCUGGCGGCAUGCCUAACACAUGCAAGUCGAACGAGACCGUCGUGUCUAGUGGCUCACGGGUUCGUAACGCGGGGGAACCUACCCGGAGGUUCUGAAUAACUCCCCGGAAGGGGUCCUAAUACCGGGGAAUAUCUUCGGACCAAAGAUUUAUCGCCUUUGGAUGGGCCCGCGUUGGAUUAGCUAGUUGGUAGGGUAAAAGCCUACCAAGGCGACGAUCCAUAGCUGGUCUGAGAGGAUGAUCAGCCACACUGGGACUGAGACCCGGCCCCGACUCCUACGGGCGGCAGCAGUGGGGACUAUUGGACAAUGGGCGAAAGCCUGAUCCAGCAAUGCCGCGUGAGUGAUGAAGGCCUUAGGGUUGUCAAGCUCUUUUACCCGGGAUGAUAAUGACAGUACCGGGAUAAUAAGCUCCGGCUAACUCCGUG